rnacentral:lncRNA from 1 species
GCACCGGCCAGCUAGCCCCUUUGUGCGGCGGGGGCUGCGGAGUGCUCCCUCCAAGACCGGUUGCACCCCGCUUUCCUGGCCAGGACUCUGGGCGCGGCAGCUACAAAGACGACGCCGGCUGCGCUCGCGGGACCAGAGGGAGGGAGGCUGCGGACGAGUGCGGGGAGGAGUUUGAGAUGGGAGGCGCUUGCAGGGGCUCCCCCAGUUCUGCGCUGUGAGCCGGGGCACAAAGAGCCCUCUGCACUAGCGCCGCAGGACCGCGGACCCGAGUUGGAGGCAUCUGUCCACCCAUGUGGUUCCAGACACGUUCAUGUGGCCACCAUGACCCCGUCGGCAUCACAGGGGUAACCAAGAGAGCAGCAAGUUCCUGGGACAGAGGAGACAGAAGGGAAUUUCCAGGUUCUUCAGGACGUUCACAACCACACUGAGAAGCAUCUUUGCAGAUAAGUAUUUAAACUUACCAGCCCAUAGCCUACCAGCCUGCCCUCUUCUGGUCUGUGCAGGAAAGUGUAGUAUCCUAGAAUGCCAAAGUGGGAGGGGAAAUGGGUGAUGUAGCUCAUUCUCUUUUCUACCUCUAUGGAAGAAAGAAAGA